rnacentral:rRNA from 1 species
UACAGAGGUCUCGAGCGUUGUUCGGAUUCAUUGGGCGUAAAGGGUGCGUAGGUGGCGCUGUAAGUCGGGUGUGAAAUCCUGAGGCUUAACCUCGGAACUGCAUUCGAUACUGCGGUGUCGUUGAGGACUGGAGAGGAGACUGGAAUUCGAUGGUGUAGCAGUGAAAUGCGUAGAGAUCAUGAGGAAGACCAGUGGCGAAGGCGGGUCUCUGGACAGUUCCUGACGCUGAGGCACGAAGGCCAGGGGAGCAAACGGG